CACGCGAUUGGAAGAGCGCGACCCUGCCCGCGACGCCCGCGCGUCCCCUUCCCUCACCUGCGGGGCGGCACCCAGGAGCCGAGGGGCGCGGAGUGCGGAGGCGACAGCGGGAUGUGCGUUCACCGGCUCAAGAGCUCUCACAGUCUCGCAGCUUCCCUGGGCGACCCACCGCAGCUGCCAGCCCGCGACGCUCGGGGCGGCGCCCUCUGGCGGCGGGAGGCCUCGCGCGCCGCCCCGCAAACGCUACCAUUGGCUGCGUUGCCAGUGUCAGCCCGGGGUUGGAGGCGCCACGUCGGGGCCUCGGGGCUGCGGAAGCGGCGGCGAUAGGCGGAACCCUGGGCGGCCACACGGAAGGGGGUGAGAGACCGCAAGCUCUUGAGCCCAGCAUCAUCGCCCUCUCCCACACCGCUUGGAUACCAAAGUAGGACUGGAAGGAGACCUAGAUUCAUCUGGGCACCAGGGUGUCACUUCCUUCGGAAUCUGUUCUCUGCAGUAACUUAUCCUGAGCGUCCUGCUUUGCAUUCCGAUACUGUUACCGUCACCCUGAAAACAGCCAUACAGUCGUGUCCUUUCAAAUGAAUGACAGGCAUAGGGACCCGCGUUGAACAGGGAGGUGACCUAAACUCAUUCGGACGCCGGAGCGUCACUUCGGAACUUGUCCUCAAUUCCCUAUCCUACUCGCAGUCACUGUUUUUAUCAUCUUGAAAACAAAAUGCGGUAUUUUUGCAAAUGAAUGUAGGGACGGAUCUCAGAGCCAACACAAGCUCUUGUUCUCCCUGGCCUUCAUCUCAACUUAUAUGUCGCUGUAUUCACCGGUGUUUCAGUGGUCAGGUGUACAUUACCCCAGACAGAACAAUGCCUGGGUGCUGUACCGGAUAGGUGCAUUUGCUGAAGAACUGUUUUAGGCUCCUGCCUCCCAAGGGCUGGCAUUAAAAGUUCAUCACUAUCCCAGUCUUUAUUCUGUUUUCCAUCCUCUGGUACCUUACAGAGGCCCGGAACACACAGUGUUUUAUGAUCUCUAUGAGAUUGAGGCCAGCCUGGUCUAUGUAGAGUUCUAGCCAGGGCAAUGGAGUGAGACCCAGUAUCAAAACAACAUAAACUGUCCACAUGCUGACUUGCCUUAACAUCAAUUUAUACCUGAAACUAAAUGCAAGCUAACCAUUAGUCAGUUCAUUAGAAAUAGGGUCAAUUUACACAAAGGACAGGGGAGAAUAUUCAGGAGUCAAUGGGACAGAUUUUAUAUUUGAUUCAUCAGUUUAUCCAGUAAUUAUAUGCCCCCAAACAGGUGAUGGGAUAGAAAGCCUUGCAUGUGCUAGACAAGCUCCCUGCCACUGAGCUAUAGCCACAGACCUUUUAAAGCUUAUUUUUAUUUUUUAAAUAUUUUUUAAAAACUUUUAUGUGCAUUGGUGUUUUAUCUACAUAUAUAUCUGUAUUUAUGUGUCAGACCACAGGGCGUCAGAUCUCUUAGAACUGGAGUUGCAGCUACUUGUGGGUGCUGAGAAUUGAACCAGGUUCCCCUAGAAGAGCACCCAUUGCUCUUAACCUCUGAGCAAUCUCUCCAGCCCCAAAAUUUAUUUUUAUUAAUGUGCAUGUGUGUGUGUGUAGGCAUACAAGCCCCAUGAAGCUGGAGAGGUGCCAAGAUACCCCCAAGACUACUCGAACAGGCUUACCUGCCUUUUCAAGUUUCUGUCUUUCAAGACACAAGCAGCCAAACGCCACCCUGCAAGGGAAAAAAAAAGCCCAACAUCAAGCCAUACAAUCCCACCAAUCCCUCAGCUUGCCCCAAGAUCAGGUCACAAAAUCCCACCAAUCUGACACCACCUCGUAAGUCUUCACCCACUCCCCCCAAGAAACCCUAUAUACAGCCUGCCUCCUGCUCAGUCCUGUGCUGGGUCCCACUAGAAACCCUAUAUACAGCCUGCCUCCUGCUCAGUCCUGUGCUGGGUCUCACUAGAGCAAGGGCUGUCACCCUCUUCUGUUUUUCCCAUGUGAGGUUUCUUGUACAGUGUGACUUUGUGGUAUUUCUUGGCUCCUUACUGCCAGGAUACCUUUCCCCUUAGAGCUCUUUCAUUUACAUAUGCAUACACAUGAACCGAAUCGGGAACAGAGUGUGGGUUUCCCCACUAAGUUCUAUCAUUUGGAGGCCCCAGCGAGAUCUGCGUGACACCCAGGAACCCUGAAAGACCCCUUGGAGGUCUGGUAUUCUGUAUUCUGGCAGCUGCCACUUUGGACCGUGAGGACCUAGUGGCUGCAGGAGGAAGACGUUCUAAGGCCCCACAGGCUGCAACUCUGGAAGACGUUCCAAGGGUGACCCUGGAGGAAGUGCCCAGGGUCUGGUUUUGCUCUCAAGGGGUUGACUGAUUAUCUUGGUUUGGCCCCAAGAGACUUUUCACUCCUGCUGGUCGGGUGAAGGAUUUCCAGCAGUCUAUGUCCCUGUACAAAGACCAGCAUCUGGCAGUCAUGGGGCCAAAACAGUUGAAAAUGAUAUCCAUGCAAAUUCAACAAGACCUCUGAUUGGACACUGAAGGCUGAAACCUGCUUGCUCAGGGUGGAGCUUCCUGCUCAUUCGUUCUGCCACGCCCACUGCUGGAACCUGCGGAGCCACACACGUGCACCUUUCUACUGGACCAGAGAUUAUUCGGCGGGAAUCGGGUCCCCUCCCCUUUCCUUCAUAACUAGUGUCGCAACAAUAAAAUUUGAGCCUUGAUCAGAGUAACUGUCUUGGCUACAUUCUUUUCUCUCGCCACCUAGCCCCUCUUCUCUUCCAGGUUUCCAAAAUGCCUUUCCAGGCUAGAACCCAGGUUGUGGUCUGCUGGCCGGACACAACAAUAAAACAGUUAUGAUAGAUUAAAAACUUUCCCAACAAUAAAAUUUCAUAUGGCUACACCUGUGUUAUCAGAGGUGGGUUUUGGUAUAUGGUAAAGAAAGUCUUAAUUAGAAAGAAUUAGUUUAAAUUUAUGCAUUGAAGAUUUAUAAAAAAUCAGGCACUAGAUGUUGAAUAAUUGACCAUAUGGGGCUGGAGAGCUAGCUCAGUGAUUAAGAGCACUAUCAUAAAGAUUAACCUGCUCUUGCAAAUAUGCCAGUAGCCUUGAAUGACUGCCUCACUGAAUACAUCCUUUUAGAAUUGUUAUAUUUUGAUGAUUUAUAUUAAUAAUGAUGUUACCUGUUCUGUAUGUGAUUCACUGAAUACAUAGUUUCAGAGUUGUAAUGCUUGGAUGAUUUUUGUUGGUAUUUGUGAUUGAUUCACUGGAUACAGUUUCUAAGAGAUGCAAUGUUUGGAUUUUAAUGUAUAAAAUCCCCUGCUUGAGAGCUCCAAAAUACAGUCGGAUUCAAAUUGCC
rnacentral:lncRNA from 1 species